AACCAAACAACCCUAAACCGACAACCCCCUUUCAACGUUCACCUAACAGCCCUAACGCACCACCCAUCGCCGCCACCCUUGUCACGUCUGUCACCUCACCACCACCACGCCCAUAUCCCACAAAAUCCGCUACCUACACCCCUCUUCUCCUUUCUCACACUCCAUCUCUGAAGCUUGCAGGCUCCAUGUGCGAUUUCAGCGGAUUUCGGGGCCUUCCUUGGCUGUUUUGAGACAAGUUUCAAGGGCUAAGUUAACAAGGUUGAAGUGUUGGAAAUUCCUCUUGAAUAACCCAAAAAAAAAAAAAAUCUCAUCUGUUUUCUUAAAAAAAAAAAAAUCUCUCUUUUAACUUUAAGUUUGUUUUUUGUCGAAUUCUUUGGUGGUUCUCGGCUAAACAAGCUCCUCAAGCGGAUUCGGAGACUCGACGACGACGUUAGCCUCAGUUCGCUGUCAUAAAGAAGGUAAUCGCAUUCGUCCUAUCUUCGUCUUUAAUUUUGUUAAAGUAGAAAUGUAGUCGUCAAGUAUUUCUCAUCAUUUAUUUGGUUUAGUUGGCUAGAUUGUGUUUGCUUGUCGUUUGUUGUAAGUUAGUGUAAAACGACUAAUCAUACUUAGAAGAAUUGUUGGUUAAUUAAGAUGUAUGCAAUUUUGUCGCUUGGCUAAUUUUCUGUUUCAGUCAUUUGUCAAAAGCUGCCACGUCCUUAUUUUUUUCGGUAUAAAGCAUGGCUUAUGGAAACUGCGAAUUUAGAAAGGGAAAUCUACUUAUUUGUGAGAAUAUAUAGCUUAUACAUGGAUUUGAUGUUAUGUUUGUUGUUGUCCUCCUGUAUGUUCAAGUAAUUAACUAAAAGCCAUGCUUCUUUUCUAUAAGAAUUCAUGUUAGGUGACCAAGUGAACCUGUUAAGUCUGUUGUAAAUAUGGAAGUUUUCUCAUUGUUUAAGAAUUAUGGCUGUAACAUCUUGAAGUGUUUAUAUAGAUUCAGCUGUUUUGUUCAUCUUAUACCAUAUUACACUAUUUGCAGAUCGUAGAAUUUAAGCUUUAACAUUUGAUAUGAAGUUUAAACCAGUUCUGCUUGUUACAUUUGUUUUAAAAUCCUCUCUGUUAGGAAUAUACUAUGGUAUGAUUAGGAGUUCACUUGGGAAAUCCCAAAAGCUACAAAGAAACAUGUUGAUGCUAAGUACAUUUGUGGUCUUCUCAGCAUGAUUGUACUAGCUAAGUUGUCAUGUAUAAAUCUAGAAAGAGUUCUUAACUUAAUUAUCUCUAGAUGAGGAUAGUAAAAGACUGGUGUUUAGUGAAAUGGGACGAGAUAAAUAAGCAGUAGGUAGUUAGCUGCACAUAUUAUAUCCUGUGCCAAAUGUACGCUUUAGUUUGACAAUUUGCUAGUGUCAUUUUUCUUGAGCUUAACUAGACUUCCUAAUGUACAGGGGUGCUGCUAUGUGAGAGUCUAAAUUACUUGUUUUGGGCUUCCUUUUGUCUAGAAACAGUCACCAAAAAAAAAGUGUUAGUUUGCCUUUUGGCUCUAAGUUUCCAGUUAUAUGUACUUAAUUGGCUAUCUCUGUAUUUUUUUUUCAAGUUUGGAAACAAAUAUGAAUUAGUUUAUAUGCUUAUGUACUCACUUGAAUGAAAUAUGGAUAAGAGAGGAUCUAGUGACUGCUUUUGUUGCUUUUAUAUGUCCACAAGUAUGAAUAAUGAAUUUAUGAGGCAUGUCGAGCUUGUUAAGGGUAUGCGAGAAUUCUUGGCUGUUUAAUCUAGCACAUUUUCUGACUUGAAGAGUUCCUUUAAACGUUCUGACUUAAGAAACUUAGCUAAGGGUCUACAUGUUUUAAUGACUAAAAGUUGCUUACUCUUAAAAAAUUCACCUGCUUGUUGUAACAGCUUUGUUGCAUUCUAGCUAUGCCUUAAUAGACUCCAUUAGCCUAAAAAGGGACCUGCACUAUGUAGAGUUGGAUUAAUUGUUUUGCUUGGAAGAAUGGUGGUCAGUCGUGUUGCAUCCGUUCUUGGGCCUUUUUUUUGUAGUUGCCGAUUUGUCGAGGCGUGUAAUGUGACCAUAGCUGUACUAUUUUAUUUGUAUCUCCUGGUUUCAUGAAUCAAUAAGUAAAGAAUGCAUAUUUUGGUCGACCUUCCUAGACAGAUUUGGUCUCUUUACUCCCAUACUUUGUAGGGUGCCUUACAUGUUGUCUUGGAGUCUUGAAAAUAAAGGUGUGAGCUUGUUGAACAACCUAUUAUCAUGUUUAAGAAUUUCAAGUUGAACUCGUAGUUGCGUUAUAUUUUGUUCAUAUUUUAGCUCAAAAGUUGAUGUGCUUUGAUCUGGAUGCUUAAAACCAUUUGAGUCGUCUAAAGCGAUCAGUUGGACAAAGUUACUUAUCUCAUAUUAUUGUAUUUCCCCCUCUGGUGGAACAUUAAAACAUAAAAUAAGGCUUUGGAUGUGAUCAUGGUUUAAAUGUUUGUGAGCUAAUUUUUGAGACUACAUACUAGAUUUUUUGACGUAGGAGAUCUUCUUAUGAUUUAACUAGAUUCUGGAAAUAAUUAGUAUUUUUGUGCCUUGUUUUAAUUACAACGUGUAGCAUUUGAUGUUAAUUAUUUCGAUCUAUGAUUAUUGGGAUUGUAACUCUAAUCCUUUUCUUUUCUUUCUUUUUACAUGAACACCAUGGGAGUUUGUUGGAGUUGUGGCUCAACUCUAAUUCUGCCCAGGUCAUAAGAGCGGCCAGCAGCAGAUUAUUUGCUCGUCUCUAGCAGUCCCACCGCGUCCACGUCUCGAGUCUCCGUCCUUCUUCCUUAUUCAAAAUUUCAAGCCUCCAUAUUGUUUGAUACAUGCUGUUUAUAUUAUUUGACUAACACUCUUUGUGAAUUUGUAUUUUUGUAGUUUUGUUUUGAACGUGUAACUUGACUUGAGUAUAUUACUAAGUUUAGUCAUUAUCUUCCCUA